GUAAGUUAUUUAAUUCAAAACAUCUAUCAUUUGGACAAAUGCAUAUAGGCAUCGUUUCAACCAGGAAAUCAUGAACAAACACUUGUAAGAAAAUAUUUCCUUCCCAAUAUUAAAUUCAAUGAUGACACAGUGGAGCUUUCAGUUGCAGAGUCGACACUGAGUACAUUAUGGAUAAAAUAAAGUUCAUAGUGUUUCUUAUAGUUGGGGUCUUUGGUGGAUUGGCUUUCUCCAAAGAAAGAACGUGGACUAAAGCUAUGGAGAAUUGUCAAUUAGCUGAACAAUCACCGUACCUUGCAAACAAUUUAGUUUCCGAUGAGAUAUGGCUCGGAGAAGCAAAAUAUGUCAUGAGUUGGGGUGUCAUAACAUUGCAAAUAGAACACGUAACUCGUUUUAACAUUUGUCAAGG